rnacentral:rRNA from 1 species
AGAGUUUGAUCCUGGCUCAGAGCGAACGCUGGCGGCAGGCCUAACACAUGCAAGUCGAGCGCCCCGCAAGGGGAGCGGCAGACGGGAGAGUAACACGUGGGAACGUGCCCUUUGGUUCGGAACAACACAGGGAAACUUGUGCUAAUACCGGAUAAGUCCGUAAGGAGAAAGAUUUAUCGCCAAAGGAUCGGCCCGCGUCUGAUUAGCUUGUUGGUGAGGUAACGGCUCACCAAGGCGACGAUCAGUAGCUGGUCUGAGAGGAUGAUCAGCCUCACUGGGACUGAGACACGGCCCAGACUCCUACGGGAGGCAGCAGUGGGGAAUAUUGGACAAUGGGCGCAAGCCUGAUCCAGCCAUGCCGCGUGGAUGAUGAAGGCCCUAGGGUUGUAAAGUCCUU